rnacentral:rRNA from 1 species
CCCUUAGAUGUUCUGAACCGCACGCGUGUUACACUGAUGCAUUCAACGAGCUUUACCUUGACCGAGAGGCCUGGGAAAUCUUUUUAGCAUGCAUCGUGAUAGGGAUUGAUUAUUGCAAUUAUUAAUCAUGAACGAGGAAUUCCUAGUAAACGCAUUUCAUCAAAAUGCAUUGAUUACGUCCCUGCCCUUUGUACACACCGCCCGUCGCACCUACCGAUUGAGUGGUCCGGUGAAGUCUCGAGAUUGUGGCAAUCUCCUUUAUUGGAGUUUGACUGCGAGAACUUGCCUAAACCUUAUCACUUAGAGGAAGGUGAAGUCGUAACA